rnacentral:rRNA from 1 species
GACGAACGCUGGCGGCGUGCUUAACACAUGCAAGUCGAACGGAAAGGCCCUGCUUGCAGGGUACUCGAGUGGCGAACGGGUGAGUAACACGUGGGUGAUCUGCCCUGCACUUCGGGAUAAGCCUGGGAAACUGGGUCUAAUACCGGAUAGGAGCCAUUUUUAGUGUGAUGGUUGGAAAGUUUUUUCGGUGUAGGAUGAGCUCGCGGCCUAUCAGCUUGUUGGUGGGGUAAUGGCCUACCAAGGCGGCGACGGGUAGCCGGCCUGAGAGGGUGGACGGCCACAUUGGGACUGAGAUACGGCCCAGACUCCUACGGGAGGCAGCAGUGGGGAAGAUUGCACAAUGGGCGCAAGCCUGAUGCAGCGACGCCGCGUGGGGGAUGACGCCCUUCGGGUUGUAAACUCCUUUCGCUAGGGACGAAGCUUUUUGUGACGGUACCUAGAUAAGAAGCACCGGCUAACUACGUG